rnacentral:tRNA from 5 species
GGGCGCUUAGCUCAGUUGGUUAGAGCACUUCGUUUACACCGAAGGGGUCGGGGGUUCGAGUCCCUCAGCGCCCA